AUUGAACGCUGGCGGCAGGCCUAACACAUGCGAGUCGAGCGGAUGAAGGGAGCUUGCUCCUGGAUUCAGCGGCGGACGGGUGAGUAAUGCCUAGGAAUCUGCCUGGUAGUGGGGGAUAACGUCCGGAAACGGGCGCUAAUACCGCAUACGUCCUGAUGGAGCAAGUGGGGGAUCUUCGGACCUCACGCUAUCAGAUGAGCCUAGGUCGGAUUAGCUAGUUGGUGGGGUAAAGGCCUACCAAGGCGACGAUCCGUAACUGGUCUGAGAGGAUGAUCAGUCACACUGGAACUGAGACACGGUCCAGACUCCUACGGGAGGCAGCAGUGGGGAAUAUUGGACAAUGGGCGAAAGCCUGAUCCAGCCAUGCCGCGUGUGUGAAGAAGGUCUUAGGAUUGUAAAGCACUUUAAGUUGGGAGGAAGGGCAGUAAGUUAAUACCUUGCUGUUUUGACGGUACCGACAGAAUAAGCACCGGCUAACUUCGUG
rnacentral:rRNA from 1 species